GCAAGUCGAACGAUGAACCACUUCGGUGGGGAUUAGUGGCGAACGGGUGAGUAACACGUGGGCAAUCUGCCCUGCACUCUGGGACAAGCCCUGGAAACGGGGUCUAAUACCGGAUACUGAUCAUCUUGGGCAUCCUUGGUGAUCGAAAGCUCCGGCGGUGCAGGAUGAGCCCGCGGCCUAUCAGCUUGUUGGUGAGGUAAUGGCUCACCAAGGCGACGACGGGUAGCCGGCCUGAGAGGGCGACCGGCCACACUGGGACUGAGACACGGCCCAGACUCCUACGGGAGGCAGCAGUGGGGAAUAUUGCACAAUGGGCGAAAGCCUGAUGCAGCGACGCCGCGUGAGGGAUGACGGCCUUCGGGUUGUAAACCUCUUUCAGCAGGGAAGAAGCGAAAGUGACGGUACCUGCAGAAGAAGCGCCGGCUAACUACGUGCCAGCAGCCGCGGUAAUACGUAGGGCGCGAGCGUUGUCCGGAAUUAUUGGGCGUAAAGAGCUCGUAGGCGGCUUGUCGCGUCGGUUGUGAAAGCCCGGGGCUUAACCCCGGGUCUGCAGUCGAUACGGGCAGGCUAGAGUUCGGUAGGGGAGAUCGGAAUUCCUGGUGUAGCGGUGAAAUGCGCAGAUAUCAGGAGGAACACCGGUGGCGAAGGCGGAUCUCUGGGCCGAUACUGACGCUGAGGAGCGAAAGCGUGGGGAGCGAACAGGAUUAGAUACCCUGGUAGUCCACGCCGUAAACGGUGGGCACUAGGUGUGGGCGACAUUCCACGUCGUCCGUGCCGCAGCUAACGCAUUAAGUGCCCCGCCUGGGGAGUACGGCCGCAAGGCUAAAACUCAAAGGAAUUGAC
rnacentral:rRNA from 1 species